rnacentral:tRNA from 1 species
AGUAAAAUGACUGAUUAAAGUGAUAAAUUGUAAAUUUAUAUAUGAAUGUUAAUUCUUUUACUA